rnacentral:rRNA from 1 species
AUUGAACGCUGGCGGCAGGCCUAACACAUGCCAGUCGAGCGGAUGAAGGGUGCUUUCUCCUGGAUUCAGCGGCGGACGGGUGUGUAAUGCCUAGGAAUCUGCCUGGUAGUGGGGGAUAACGUCCGGAAACGGGCGCUAAUACCGCAUACGUCCUGUGGUAGAAAGUGGGGGUUCUUCGGACCUCUCGCUUUCUGAUGAGCCUAGGUCGGAUUAGCUAGUUGGUGGGGUAAAGGCCUACCAAGGCGACGAUCCGUAACUGGUCUGAGAGGAUGAUCAGUCAAACUGGAAGUGAGAAACGGAAAAGAAGAAGACGGGAGGAAGCAGUGGGGAAUAUUGGACAAUGGGCGAAAGCAUGAUAGAGGAAUGCCGAGUGUGUGAAGAAGGACUUAGGAUUGUAAAGAACUUUAAGUUGGGAGGAAGGGAAGUAAGUUAAUACCUUGAUGUAGUGACGUUAACAAAAGAAUAAGCAACGGCUAACUACGUG